UACGAAGGGUGCAAACGUUGCUCGGAAUUAUUGGGCGUAAAGCGCACGUAGGCGGCCUCGCAAGUCUGAUGUGAAAUCCCUCGGCUCAACCGAGGACGUGCAUCGGAAACUGCGGGGCUUGAGUACUGAAGAGGAUCGCGGAAUUCCCGGUGUAGAGGUGAAAUUCGUAGAUAUCGGGAGGAACACCAGUGGCGAAGGCGGCGAUCUGGGCAGAUACUGACGCUGAGGUGCGAAAGCGUGGGGAGCAAACAGG
rnacentral:rRNA from 1 species